rnacentral:lncRNA from 1 species
GAAGCUAACUUGGAUCAAACACACUCUCUCUUCUCUCUCCUCAUGGCCGGCCAAGACACCCUCUCUCUCUAACUCCUUGUUCAAAAAAAAUUCUGCACACUAAUCUUCCCCAAAAACCACCCCAAAUCACCUCCAAAUCACACCAAACUUGGAGACCACUUAGCAAACCUCUUGGAGAUUAUAUCUAGCUAAGGAGGAGGGGAGCUUUCACGGUUUCUUGGAGCUUCAAGAGGGCCGAAAAUUCUGACCUUGCAAACCAAAGGAGUAGGUAAUGAUCAACCCUUGGAUUCUUAUCUUUUGGAGAUUAUAUGGCAAGAUUAAGCUCAUGCAUGCACUUAGUUACUUGAUUAUGGUGUAAAAAUGUGAUUGUGGGCUCUUGGAAUUCCCACACUUGGGUUGUUGUUGCUGAUGUGAUAAGUAAUGGUUAUUAUAUUGUUGGUUUAGUGAUUAUAAUGAUGCAUUAGUGGUGGGUAAUUAGUAGGAACUUCAUUGGGUGUAAGAAGCUAAAAUUUCCGAUUUUGCCCCUGCCAUGUUCGGCCAUUUCCAGGCCAAUUUUUAAUGGUUUAAUUGCUUGAAUUGGAUGUUUGUAGGAUGUAUUAGAUGUGUGAAAAAUUUCAUUGAAAAAUAAUGAGGUUUGAAUGGGCAAAUGAAUUUUUGUUCGAAACCAGCAAAUCUGGAAAACUGAUUCGCGUAUGCUCUGACCAGCAGUAGUAUUUUGGCUAUAACUCUGUCCUCGGAUGUCGAAAUCAUGUGCCGUCAGUGGCGUUUGAAACUAGACAUUCCUAGCUUUAAUUUGGUAUAUAAUGCACGUUCUGAUUCUUUGUGAGCGAGCCGAACCAAAUGUUUUAAGUUCGCUGUCCUGUUACUCUGUUCAUCUGGAAUGAAGUGUUCAGGCAGCAACUUGAUGCCCGAAUUUGAAUCAGAUGGGUGCCGAAUUUGGUAACGAUUUCUUCUGUGAUAUUUUAACUCUAUGAAUGUAUUUUCCAAAGGCGUAAGCCAUGCUCGAUUUCGAUCUAUAUUGACUGAGUUGUGACUGAAACAAGUGGACUGCUCUGUUUUGGAAAACCCUAAUCUUUGGAUUGGUUUGGAACAAAAUCUUGGAGUGAACUUGUUAGUUGAUGUUUUUGAUAUUAAACACUUACCAAAGGUAUCAUGGAUGUAUCUUAGACCCUUAUUUCACAAAUGAACCAUGGUUGGAUAACUUUCUUGGUUAAACGAUUGGAAAUUUGGAAAAUGAAAGUCAAAGGCAGAUUGCCUUAGGAUUUUUCUUGAACUUUGGUUGGCUAAUUAACGACCUUGCCGAAGGUAUUUUUCCCCAAAAUUCGAUAGAGAGAUACCUUCCACAUAGUAUUGAAAUACUGCCAAUUUUGGUGCCGAUUCAAGUUCGUUUCGAUACCCAAUUGAAUUACUAAAGUUAGAGGUUCAAAUCUGGAAAAUUCUCAUCCAGUCUUGAAUUUGCUCAACUUCGGGCUACCGUAUCUCGGUGCUCGAAACUCCAAUUCUUGAUCCGCUUGUUUUGUUAUAAACUUCACUUGCAACACUAAUUGAGCUGCAAAAUUCAGAGGCCGGUUUGCAACGUGCGAAUCGUGCCGAAUUUUCAAAGUUGGCCAAAAUCCAACCUCAUUCUGCCUUGUGAACCAACCCUGCACCUUCAAGCUCAUUUUGAGCACUUUCCACUUUGAUUCAUGGAAAAGUGUCUUCUAGGAACUUAUAAUACUUUCUAAGAGGUUUCCAACGGUAUAAAGUUUUCCAAUUUUCGACUUGUACCGAGUGAGUUACGAUUUUUCAAAAAUUCAUGAUAAAGCUGAAAAUUUUCCAAUUUCAAAGAAAUAGAGUUUUCAAGAACUCUUUACACUUUUGAUAUUAUCUAAACGUUUUGCCCACGAUUUUCAUGAUAAAAACUCAACUAAUAUUAUACUUCAUAAAACGCAAGUUGAACCUCGAUUUACGAGUAAUUGAGGUUCAUUUUUGUGAAAUAUUCCUUAGAUCGUACUAAUGUACAAUCUUACUUGAUAAUUGAGAUACUUGAGUAAUUAUCCACCAUUAACUGCCAGGCACACAAGGAGACCUUCAAGAGGAUUUCACCAUGGACACUUGAACUCCAGCGAAUAAUCUUUAUUAAAUUGCUCGG